CCUGCUGUGCGACCAGCAGUAGCCUAGGAGGACAUGCGUCACUGGUAACGGUGGGUGUGAAGCUUCUCUGACAAUGUAGCCCCCGGUGGUUUCGGGCGGAUGACUGCCGUGAGGUAGUCAUCCGGAGACUCCUAGCAGCAAUGGGGUCGAGGAG
rnacentral:ncRNA from 1 species